CCUAAUAUGCUUUUAGAUUAAUGCAGAUGUGCUGCUAUGUUGCUACUUGACAUUUUUUGUUGCUUGGAGGUUAUCAUUCAAGUGCAAGCGACAGGACUCUUCAUCCUCCAGAGGCAACAAAGAGACUGCAUCAAUGCGGAAAGAUCUCAAGAGGCAGGUCUUGGAUUGAGACCUAGACUAAGGCAAGAUGUGCUGCCCUCCGCCUCAGUUUCCUCAUAUAGAAAAGGGGAAGAUUGGCCUGGACUGGAUGAAUUCUUUGGUUCUUUCAACAUUUACCAUGCUCUGAGUCUGUAUUCCAGAGAUUUGAAAUUAAUCCAUGUAGCUUCUGGAGAGAGAUGUAUCAUAUUUCUGUGACUGGUCCCCAAGCGAUUGUCCCUCAAACCUUGACGCUGUUGAAUGCAAAGACAAGGAUUGCCACCUCUGAUUCUUGCCAUCCUUGCCAUCCUACACUGAGUUGAGAUUCAGUAAAGAUGGCAAAAACUCUGACCUCAGCCUGAGGAACCAAAUACGUGGGAUUCUGAUGGCCGGACUGCCUGCCAUCUUGAUAACUCCCAUUCUGUUUAGAGCAACAAAGGAUUUGUGUUAUGUAGUUUUAUUGAAAACUAUAUUAAUUGAUCAGCAAUAUUUUUUUUUCUGUAAAUUUGGAAUGUUUUUCAUUCAGACCUGUUCUGCCAGUGAUUCUACUGAAAACAAUUUGAUUAAUAUAAAAACAUUCAAGCUAUGCAACACUA